rnacentral:rRNA from 1 species
ACGUUAAGUACGGAAUUACGUGGGACGUAAAGCGCAUCGCGAGGCGGCCUAGUUAAGUCAGAUGUAGAAACGGCCCGGGGACCUUUAACCGUACGGUAAGUUGCUAUUUAGUAAACGUGGCGAGGCUAGAGUCUUGUAGAGGGGGUAGGAAUUUCAGGUGUAGCGGUGAAAUGCGUAGAGAUCUGAAGGAAUACCAGUGGCGAAGGCGGCCCCCUGGACAAAGACUGACGCUCAGAUGCGAAAGCGUGGGGAGCAAACAGGAUUAGAUACCCUGGUAG